rnacentral:lncRNA from 1 species
CUGUAGAAAACAUUGGUUGACAAUAAGUGCACAAAAAAAACCCUAUAUAAAAAUAAAUAAAUAAAUAAAUACACUUUUUUAACCCUAUGUAUUUACUAUCUCUACCUUUUCAUGCACAAAACAAAUCCUUUAAAAUCUCCAUUCUCUAACAAAAAGAAACCCUAGAAAAUCAUCUUUUCGUGCUCCUCUUUCGUCAAUAAAUUUGCAGAAUAACGUUGUAUCAAAGAUAAGUUUGUUAGUGUUUUUCAUUUAAUUUCUCUAGUUCAUUCUAUUGCAUUUUAGUUAGUUUAUGCAACAUGCGUAAUUUGUGUUUUUCGUUCCUUACUUUGUCUGUGGUCGGUUCUUAUUAAUUUCUUCAGGUAUCGUGUUGUGAAGUUUACAGGUUGGUUAAAAGGUAUUUUUUUUUUUUAGCUUUUUUCUAUAAAUUUGAAUUUUUUCUAUAAUUUUUACUUAGCUUUUCUAUGAAAAUUGUUAUCUUGUUCAUGUUUUAAAGUUUUUGUACCUUUUUCACUUCUCUUGGAACACAAAUCGUAGUAGUGUAUCUUGUUAAAUUUUCAGGAUGAAAAUUUUGGAAGUUAUGUAUUGUAUUUUCAGGGGUCUAAGUUUGUGUGUUUAGAUUUUUUAUUUUUUAUUUUUUUUUCAAAUUUAAAAUUCUUGAAUCUAUGGACAAUACAUUCUUUUGGCCUCCUAUUGGUUGGGUUUUGAGAACAAAUUAGAUUGGAUGAACUGAUUUGGUUUUGGAAUUAAGUUCUAUGAUUCAAUUGCUAUAAGAAAGAAAGUUGAGCCUUUGAAGAAAAUUUGAAGUUUCAAUUCAUGUAGUUUUGUGGAUCUUUAUUUUGAAUUUAAUAGAUUUUCCUCCUCUAGCCAGACACUGUGCCUUUAGAUAUAUGAAGUUUGGUCAUCAGUUGCUAAAUUUUUGGAAAAUCUAGCGUGUUAGCUAACCUUGAACUAAUUCAAUGAUUAAAAGCUCUGGUAAACACAACUUGAAGUUUUGGUAUUGUCAAUUUAGUGAAGUUUGUGUGUUUAGUAAGAGUAUUUUUAUACUUUUAUUUUUUUGUCUUCUUUUAACUUUUAAAUCGUUCAAUCUAUGGUCGAUAUGUUCCUUUUCAUUUUCAUAGAAGUUAGUUUUACCAGUUCAAUUUUACAUUUCUUGAUUAAUUUUUUGCAAUAUCUAAAUGAUAUCUGGCUUUAGGAUUUAUAUUUUUUCGUUCUCUACUGUUAGCAGGUAUGAAUGUACUUAUUUUUUUUAGCAAAUAAGUUACUUACUUUCUUAAAAUAGAAAUUGUAUCACUGCAUUUUCUAGAAAUUUUCAUUUUGAAAUUUUCAAAGUCAUGUGUACUUUUCUUAGGGGUUUUAGUGUUAGUUUUGAAAUUUUACUUCUGUUUUAUUUCAAAUUUAAAAUUAUUCAAUGUAUGGUUGAUAUGUUGCCUUUAAUUUUUGUCUAAGUUAGAUUUAUUAUUUCCAUUUCACAUUUGUUCGUUGAUGUUGUUACGUGUUGUCAUACUUGGACAA